ensembl:misc_RNA Metazoa_SRP Metazoan signal recognition particle RNA
GGUGGGUGCAGUAGCGCAUGCCUGUAGUCCCAGCUACUUGGGAGGCUGAGGUGGGACGAUUGCUUGAGCCCAGGAGUUCUGGGCUGUAGUGUGCUAUGCCAGUCAGGUGUCUGCACUAAUCUGGCAUCAAUAUGGUAACCUCCUGGAAGCGGGGCACCACCAGGUUGCCUAUAGAGGAGUGAACCAGCCCAGGUUGGAAACGGAGCAGGUCAAAACUCCCGUGCUGAUCAGUAGUGGGAUCACGACUAUGAAUAGCUGCUGCACUCCAGCCUGGGCAGCAUAGCAAGACCCACUCUCU